rfam:Oryza glaberrima chromosome 1 Oglab01_0313_33, whole genome shotgun sequence.
UUUAAGUGUAGUUGUAGGUUUUCGUAUCCAACUUUUGAUCGUUCAUCUUUUUUUUUAUGAUUAGUAUUUUUUUGUUAUUAGAUGAUAAAACAUUAAUAGCACUUUAUGUAUACUUUAUUUUUUAAAAUUUUUAAAUAAGAUAAAUGUUAAAUGUUAGAACACAAAGAUUCACCACUGCACUUAAA